CACGUAGUUAGCCGUGGCUUGUUCUUGAGGUACCGUCAUUAUUCGUCCCUCAUCAAAGAAGUUUACGAUCCGAAAACCUUCAUCCUUCACGCGGCGUUGCUGCAUCAGGGUUUCCCCCAUUGUGCAAUAUUCCCCACUGCUGCCUCCCGUAGGAGUCUGGGCCGUGUCUCAGUCCCAAUGUGGCCGAUCAACCUCUCAGUUCGGCUACCAUCGUCGCCUUGGUGGUCCGUUACACCACCAACUAGCUAAUUGGACGCGGGUCCAUCUUAUACCGGAUUGCUCCUUUGAUCAUCAUAUGAUGCCAUACAAUGAUAUUAUGCGGUAUUAGCACAAGUUUCCCUGUGUUAUCCCCCUGUAUAAGGCAGGUUACCCACGCGUUACUCACCCGUCGCCGCUAAGAUAUAUAUCCGAUAAACUCUUCAAUAUAUCUCCGCUCGACUUGCAUGUGUUAGGCACGCCGCCAGCGUGUCCUGUCGCACGGAUCGAACUCU
rnacentral:rRNA from 1 species